AUAGAAGUGAUAACGGAGGGUUUGAUUCUGGCUCAGAGCGAACGCUGGCGGCGUGUUUUAGGCA
rnacentral:rRNA from 1 species